rnacentral:rRNA from 1 species
GAGUUUGAUCAUGGCUCAGGACGAACGCUGGCGGCGUGCUUAACACAUGCAAGUCGAACGAUGAAGCGGUGCUUGCACCGUGGAUUAGUGGCGAACGGGUGAGUAAUACGUGAGUGACCUACCUUUGACUCUGGGAUAAGCCUGGGAAACUGGGUCUAAUACCGGAUACGACCAAUCUCUGCAUGGGGUGUUGGUGGAAAGCGUUAUGGAGUGGUUUAGAUGGGCUCACGGCCUAUCAGCUUGUUGGUGAGGUAAUGGCUUACCAAGGCGACGACGGGUAGCCGGCCUGAGAGGGUGACCGGCCACACUGGGACUGAGACACGGCCCAGACUCCUACGGGAGGCAGCAGUGGGGAAUAUUGCACAAUGGGCGCAAGCCUGAUGCAGCGACGCCGCGUGAGGGAUGACGGCCUUCGGGUUGUAAACCUCUGUUAGCAUCGAAGAAGCGAAAGUGACGGUAGGUGCAGAGAAAGCGCCGGCUAACUACGUGCCAGCAGCCGCGGUAAUACGUAGGGCGCGAGCGUUGUCCGGAAUUAUUGGGCGUAAAGAGCUUGUAGGCGGUUGGUCGCGUCUGCUGUGAAAGGCCGGGGCUUAACUCCGGUUUUGCAGUGGGUACGGGCUAACUAGAGUGCAGUAGGGGAGACUGGAAUUCCUGGUGUAGCGGUGGAAUGCACAGAUAUCAGGAGGAACACCGAUGGCGAAGGCAGGUCUCUGGGCUGUAACUGACGCUGAGAAGCGAAAGCAUGGGGAGCGAACAGGAUUAGAUACCCUGGUAGUCCAUGCCGUAAACGUUGGGCACUAGGUGUGGGGGACAUUCCACGUUUUCCGCGCCGUAGCUAACGCAUUAAGUGCCCCGCCUGGGGAGUACGGCCGCAAGGCUAAAACUCAAAGGAAUUGACGGGGGCCCGCACAAGCGGCGGAGCAUGCGGAUUAAUUCGAUGCAACGCGAAGAACCUUACCAAGGCUUGACAUGCAUUAGAUCGCGUCAGAGAUGGCGUUUCCCUUCGGGGCUGGUGUACAGGUGGUGCAUGGUUGUCGUCAGCUCGUGUCGUGAGAUGUUGGGUUAGAUCCCGCAACGAGCGCAACCCUCGUUCUAUGUUGCCAGCGGUUCGGCCGGGGACUCAUAGGAGACUGCCGGGGUCAACUCGGAGGAAGGUGGGGAUGACGUCAAAUCAUCAUGCCCCUUAUGUCUUGGGCUUCACGCAUGCUACAAUGGCCGGUACAGAGGGUUGCGAUACUGUGAGGUGGAGCUAAUCCCUUAAAGCCGGUCUCAGUUCGGAUUGGGGUCUGCAACUCGACCCCAUGAAGUCGGAGUCGCUAGUAAUCGCAGAUCAGCAACGCUGCGGUGAAUACGUUCCCGGGCCUUGUACACACCGCCCGUC